UACGUAGGGGGCAAGCGUUAUCCGGAAUUAUUGGGCGUAAAGGGUGCGUAGGCUGCCUUAUGGGUCAGAGGUUAAAGGCUACGGCUUAACCGUAGCAUGCCUUUGAAACUAUAGGGCUUGAGUGCAGGAGAGGAGAGUGGAAUUCCUAGUGUAGCGGUGAAAUGCGUAGAUAUUAGGAGGAAUACCAGUGGCGAAGGCGACUCUCUGGACUGCAACUGACGCUAAGGCACGAAAGCGUGGGUAGCGAACAGGAUUAGAUACCC
rnacentral:rRNA from 1 species